CAAGAGUGAAAACUCCGUCUCAAAAAAAACAAACAACCCCAAAAUAUCAACCUUUCUUCUGUCCCAAUACACCUUAAAGAUCUGAUACAGAGUCCCAUUACUAAUAGUGCUCCAUGGUGACUUCUAAUCUGGGAAGAGUGGGAGGGGACACAGAACAAUCUGGGGAUGGGAAAGAUGUAUGUGGUUUAGAAUGCUCUUCCCAACACUGCAAGAGACCUUUGACAUGUUUAAUAUUUAUUAUAGUUAGACUAUACUUAAGAGAGCCCAAAGAUCUUCAAAAUGUAUAUUUUAAAUGUUCUGAAUCAUAAAUUUGGUUCAUAUGCCCUGGAGGCUGGUGAGUGAAAGCCGCCCCCUUGACUACUGAGUAAGCUUAACUGUCAAUCCUAUAUUUAUAGCACAACAUGAGUAUUUGGCUUUCCACUAGUUUCAGGAUCUAAGACUUUAUGGAAUAAAUUAUAUGCUAUAAAGGUAAUGUCAAAUUAGGGACUUAGAAAGAUCAAAGGUGAUUCCUUUUCAAAUGUCAAGUAUCUUUAAAAGUCACUUUUAAAAGUGAUACAAAGCAACAAAGUAUUAUAGCUCAGUACCUAACAACAGCCCCUCUUCCCCAAACAACUUUGGCCAAAUUUAUAUAUUAUCUGUAGGGUGGAAAUCAGAUAAACAAACUCCUUGUUUGAAAUUUCAUCCUUUUCUUAUAAAGUGAUCGAUGGCUAGAAUUUUCAAACAGUGGGAUCCUAUGCUCCAGGGAUCAUUCUAUGGUUCGUUAUUGGAAACGUUUCUCUGAACGUGUAGAGCACUGAUGAACAUAUAAAAUUUUGACACACACAGGCACACGCAAAAGAAAUACACGUUCCCAGCCCUUCAAAGAACCUCAAGCCAACUUCCCAAAAAACAACCACAUAUAACUAUCUACCAAGGAUUCCUACAGAAGGCAUUUUAAACACCAUUUACCUAUUUAUUAUAAACUCAGCAGUGGGUAUGUUUCUGUACAGUUAUCCAUUGAAAACUCAUCUUAGUUCUGGAAGAGGGAGAAAAGGGAGAUGGAAUAUAGAGGCUGUCACAUGCUACUGGCUACUGGCAGGGGAAGGUGAGCAAGAGAUGACUGGCCAAGAGAGUGAGAAGAGAAACUGCCUGUGGCUUGUCCAUGUCCAAAUCUACUAAAUUGGUAGUCUUCUCUUCUUAGCCCAUGAUUCUCUAGCAGCUGGUCUGAACCACUGCCUGAAACCACUAAAAAAAAAAAAGAAAGAAAGAAAAAGAAAAAAAAAAAAAGCAACGAGAUAAAAAUAAUACAAAAUAGCUGGGUGCAGUUUUGUAGAGAUGGGGUUUUGCC
rnacentral:lncRNA from 1 species